AACGGAGGUGGCUAGCGUUACUCGGAUUUACUGGGCGUAAAGCGUGCGCAGGCGGUUUGUUAAGCGAGAUGUGAAAGCCCCGGGCUCAACCUGGGAACCGCAUUUCGAACUGGCAAACUAGAGUCUUGUAGAGGGGGGUAGAAUUCCAGGUGUAGCGGUGAAAUGCGUAGAGAUCUGGAGGAAUACCGGUGGCGAAGGCGGCCCCCUGGACAAAGACUGACGCUCAGGCACGAAAGCGUGGGGAGCAAACAGG
rnacentral:rRNA from 1 species